AAUCCAUGUACAGGAAACUUCUGCGGUAAUUCUUUAAAUCUUUCCCAUGCUUCAUACAUGCUUUCAUCUUCCAUCUACUUCAACGAAGUUAAAUCAUUUCGAAGCUU